GAUGAACGCUGGCGGCGUGCCUAAUACAUGCAAGUCGAGCGAACAGACGAGGAGCUUGCUCCUCUGACGUUAGCGGCGGACGGGUGAGUAACACGUGGAUGACCUACCUAUAAGACUGGGAUAACUUCGGGAAACCGGAGCUAAUACCGGAUAAUAUAUUGAACCGCAUGGUUCAAUAGUGAAAGACGGUUUUGCUGUCACUUAUAGAUGGAUCCGCGCCGCAUUAGCUAGUUGGUAAGGUAACGGCUUACCAAGGCAACGAUGCGUAGCCGACCUGAGAGGGUGAUCGGCCACACUGGAACUGAGACACGGUCCAGACUCCUACGGGAGGCAGCAGUAGGGAAUCUUCCGCAAUGGGCGAAAGCCUGACGGAGCAACGCCGCGUGAGUGAUGGAGGUCUUCGGAUCGUAAAACUCUGUUAUUAGGGAAGAACAAAUGUGUAAGUAACUAUGCACGUCUUGACGGUACCUAAUCAGAAAGCCACGGCUAACUACGUG
rnacentral:rRNA from 1 species